CCUACGGGAGGCAGCAGUGAGGAAUAUUGGUCAAUGGGCGGGAGCCUGAACCAGCCAAGUCGCGUGAAGGAAGAAGGUACUUAGUAUUGUAAACUUCUUUUGUCGGGGAACAAAGGCGGAGACGCGUCUCCGGAUGAGUGUACCCGAAGAAAAAGCAUCGGCUAACUACGUGCCAGCAGCCGCGGUAAUACGUAGGUGGCAAGCGUUAUCCGGAUUUAUUGGGUGUAAAGGGCGUGUAGGCGGGAAAGCAAGUCAGAUGUGAAAACUCAGGGCUCAACCCUGAGCCUGCAUUUGAAACUGUUUUUCUUGAGUGCUGGAGAGGCAAUCGGAAUUCCGUGUGUAGCGGUGAAAUGCGUAGAUAUACGGAGGAACACCAGUGGCGAAGGCGGCCUGCUGGACGACAACUGACGGUGAGGCGCGAAAGCGUGGGGAGCAAACAGGAUUAGAUACCCCAGUAGUC
rnacentral:rRNA from 1 species